CUGCUACUGAGGAGUCCUAGAAUGGGACGAAACGACCGUCCAAUAC
rnacentral:hammerhead_ribozyme from 1 species